ACUCAAAUGAAUUGACGGGGAUCCGCACAAGUGGUGGAGCAUGUGGUUUAAUUCGACGAUAAGCGGGAAACCUCACCAUGGUUUGAAACUAUGCUGCAUUAUAUAGAAAUAUAUAAGCCUUCGAGGGUGCAUAGCAGGUGCUGCACGGUUGUCGUCAGCUCGUGCCGUAAGGUGUUCUGUUAAGUCAGGAAACGAGCGCAACCCCUAUCGUGUGUUAUAUUGUCACACGAGACUGCCCGGAACUUUGUUCAUAAAUAUUUAUAUUUGUGGCCAGGGUUCCGGGAGGAAGGUGGGGAUGACGUCAAAUCAGCGUGGCCCUUUGACACCAUGGGCAACACACGUGCUACAAUGGCCAAUACAAAGGGUUGCCAAGUCGCGAGACGGAGCUAAUCCCAAAAAGUUGGUCUCAGUUCGGAUUGGAGUCUGCAACUCGACUCCAUGAAGCCGGAAUCACUAGUAAUCGUAGAUCAGAACGCUACGGUGAAUACGUUCUCGGAUCUUGUACACACCGCCCGU
rnacentral:rRNA from 1 species